GUGUCGACUGCCGGUUCGAUCCGAACCCGGAGGACCGCGCACCGCCGGCACUCGCUAGGAAGCGCCGCGGAUCCCUUCUCGCGCAUCGCCGCAUCCGAGGACGGACCACAGACACUCGUUCACCCGCAAAGGAGUACAGUUUUCAGAGGAAUGAAUCAGGUCCCCAUCCCUCUCAGCUGCAUUAUACACCACCCAGGCCUAGAGCCGAAUUGCCUCAACUUGUACACCCUGCAGAACAUCUACAAAAUGGACUACGGACAUCUGAGGUGCAGAACAGAAGAAGAGUGCAACCACUUCCCCCUUUGACAGAUGCUUGGGGAUUGGGAUUUUUUUCAUCUCCUCCACAAAUGGGGCUGGGUCCUCAAACACCAUCCUCAUCAAGUCACCCACAAAAUCUGCUUUGUGGUGGAUUCACCCUUCUUUGUCUUGGGGAACACGACUCUGUAAACUGGAUGUCCUGAAGAUGAUGAAGCUGCAUUUAAUUAUAAUGGGGGACAUUUGGGAAAGAGGGGGUCUUCUUACCUAUGGAUAUUUUGAACCUGGUUAAAAAGUGAAGUCCACUUGGCCACCUUCUCAGGCCCUGAGGUUGAAGAGGUUGCACCCCAAUAGACAUGGUUCUAUAAACUGUGGAACCGGGGUAUAGCUGAUUGGUGUGAUGUACCCUGAAAUACAAGGGCAAAUAAAACAAUAACAAUUUUG